rnacentral:rRNA from 1 species
AUUGAACGCUGGCGGCAGGCCUAACACAUGCAAGCCGAGCGGUAACACAGAGAGCUUGCUCUCGGGUGACGAGCGGCGGACGGGUGAGUAAUGUCUGGGUAACUGCCUGAUGGAGGGGGAUAACUACUGGAAACGGUAGCUAAUACCGCAUAACGUCGCAAGACCAAAGAGGGGGACCUUCGGGCCUCUUGCCAUCAGAUGUGCCCAGAUGGGAUUAGCUAGUAGGUGGGGUAACGGCUCACCUAGGCGACGAUCCCUAGCUGGUCUGAGAGGAUGACCAGCCACACUGGAACUGAGACACGGUCCAGACUCCUACGGGAGGCAGCAGUGGGGAAUAUUGCACAAUGGGCGCAAGCCUGAUGCAGCCAUGCCGCGUGUAUGAAGAAGGCCUUCGGGUUGUAAAGUACUUUCAGCGGGGAGGAAGGCGAUAAGGUUAAUAACCUUGUCGAUUGACGUUACCCGCAGAAGAAGCACCGGCUAACUCCGUGCCAGCAGCCGCGGUAA